AACGAACGCUGGCGGCAUGCCUAACACAUGCAAGUCGAACGAGACCUUCGGGUCUAGUGGCGCAUGGGUGCGUAACGCGUGGGAACCUGCCCUUAGGUUCGGAAUAACUCCCCGAAAGGGGUGCUAAUACCGGAUAAUGUCUUCGGACCAAAGAUUUAUCGCCUUUGGAUGGGCCCGCGUUGGAUUAGCUAGUUGGUAGGGUAAAAGCCUACCAAGGCGACGAUCCAUAGCUGGUCUGAGAGGAUGACCAGCCACACUGGGACUGAGACACGGCCCAGACUCCUACGGGAGGCAGCAGUGGGGAAUAUUGGACAAUGGGCGAAAGCCUGAUCCAGCAAUGCCGCGUGAGUGAUGAAGGCCUUAGGGUUGUAAAGCUCUUUUACCCGGGAUGAUAAUGACAGUACCGGGAGAAUAAGCUCCGGCUAACUCCGUG
rnacentral:rRNA from 1 species